rnacentral:rRNA from 1 species
CCUACGGGGGGCAGCAGUGGGGAAUAUUGCACAAUGGGGGAAACCCUGAUGCAGCGACGCCGCGUGAGUGAAGAAGUAAUUCGUUAUGUAAAGCUCUAUCAGCAGGGAAGAAAAUGACGGUACCUGAGUAAGAAGCACCGGCUAACUACGUGCCAGCAGCCGCGGUAAUACGUAGGGGGCAAGCGUUAUCCGGAUUUACUGGGUGUAAAGGGAGCGUAGACGGCAGUGCAAGUCUGGAGUGAAAGGCGGGGGCUCAACCCCCGGACUGCUCUGGAAACUGUACGGCUGGAGUGCAGGAGAGGUAAGUGGGAUUCCUAGUGUAGCGGUGAGAUGCGUAGAUAUUAGGAGGAACACCAGUGGCGAAGGCGGGUUACUGGACUGUAACUGACGUUGAGGCUCGAAAGCGUGGGGAGCAAACGGGAUUAGAUACCCGGGUAGUC